UUCCGGUUGAUCCUGCCGGACCUGACUGCUAUCGGAUUGAUACUAAGCCAUGCGAGUCAUUGUAGCAAUACAAGGCAGACGGCUCAGUAACGCGUAGUCAACCUACCCUAUGGACGGGGAUAACCUCGGGAAACUGAGAAUAAUACCAGAUAGAACAUUAUGCCUGGAAUGGUUUAUGUUUCAAAUAAUUUAUUGCCGUAGGAUGGGACUGCGGCCUAUCAGUUUGUUGGUGAGGUAAUGGCCCACCAAGACUAUUACAGGUACGGGCUCUGAGAGGAGUAGCCCGGAGAUGGGUACUGAGACACGGACCCAGGCCCUAUGGGGCGCAGCAGGCGAGAAAACUUUGCAAUGUGCGAAAGCACGACAAGGUUAUUCCGAGUGAUUUCUGCUAAAGGAAUCUUUUGUCAGUCCUAGAAACACUGUUGAAUAAGGGGUGGGCAAGUUCUGGUGUCAGCCGCCGCGGUAAAACCAGCACCUCAAGUGGUCAGGAUGAUUAUUGGGCCUAAAGCAUCCGUAGCCUGCUUUGUCAGUUUUCGGUUAAAUCCAUACGCUCAACGUAUGGGCUGCCGGAAAUACUGCAAAGCUAGGGAGUGGGAGAGGUAGACGGUACUCGGGAGGAAGGGGUAAAAUCCUUUGAUCUCUCGAUGACCACCUGUGGCGAAGGCGGUCUACCAGAACACGUCCGACGGUGAGGGAUGAAAGCUGGGGGAGCAAACCGGAUUAGAUACCCGGGUAGUCCCAGCUGUAAACUAUGCAAACUCGGUGAUGCGUUGGCUUGUAGCUAGCGCAGUGCCGCAGGGAAGCCGUUAAGUUUGCCGCCUGGGAAGUACGUACGCAAGUAUGAAACUUAAAGGAAUUGGCGGGGGAGCACCACAAGGGGUGAAGCCUGCGGUUCAAUUGGAGUCAACGCCGGA
rnacentral:rRNA from 1 species